GGCGCACGGUGGAUGCCUUGGCACUAGAAGCCGAUGAAGGACGUUACUAACGACGAUAUGCUUUGGGGAGCUGUAAGUAAGCUUUGAUCCAGAGAUUUCCGAAUGGGGAAACCCAGCAUGAGUUAUGUCAUGUUAUCGAUAUGUGAAUACAUAGCAUAUCAGAAGGCACACCCGGAGAACUGAAACAUCUUAGUACCCGGAGGAAGAGAAAGAAAAUUCGAUUCCCUUAGUAGCGGCGAGCGAAACGGGAAGAGCCCAAACCAACAAGCUUGCUUGUUGGGGUUGUAGGACACUCUAUACGGAGUUACAAAGGACGACAUUAGACGAAUCAUCUGGAAAGAUGAAUCAAAGAAGGUAAUAAUCCUGUAGUCGAAAAUGUUGUCUCUCUUGAGUGGAUCCUGAGUACGACGGAGCACGUGAAAUUCCGUCGGAAUCUGGGAGGACCAUCUCCUAAGGCUAAAUACUCUCUAGUGACCGAUAGUGAACCAGUACCGUGAGGGAAAGGUGAAAAGCACCCCGGAAGGGGAGUGAAAUAGAACCUGAAACCGUGUGCUUACAAGUAGUCAGAGCCCGUUAAUGGGUGAUGGCGUGCCUUUUGUAGAAUGAACCGGCGAGUUACGAUUUGAUGCAAGGUUAAGCAGUAAAUGUGGAGCCGUAGCGAAAGCGAGUCUGAAUAGGGCGUUUAGUAUUUGGUCGUAGACCCGAAACCAGGUGAUCUACCCUUGGUCAGGUUGAAGUUCAGGUAACACUGAAUGGAGGACCGAACCGACUUACGUUGAAAAGUGAGCGGAUGAACUGAGGGUAGCGGAGAAAUUCCAAUCGAACCUGGAGAUAGCUGGUUCUCUCCGAAAUAGCUUUAGGGCUAGCCUCAAGUGAUGAUUAUUGGAGGUAGAGCACUGUUUGGACGAGGGGCCCCUCUCGGGUUACCGAAUUCAGACAAACUCCGAAUGCCAAUUAAUUUAACUUGGGAGUCAGAACAUGGGUGAUAAGGUCCGUGUUCGAAAGGGAAACAGCCCAGACCACCAGCUAAGGUCCCAAAAUAUAUGUUAAGUGGAAAAGGAUGUGGCGUUGCCCAGACAACUAGGAUGUUGGCUUAGAAGCAGCCAUCAUUUAAAGAGUGCGUAAUAGCUCACUAGUCGAGUGACACUGCGCCGAAAAUGUACCGGGGCUAAACAUAUUACCGAAGCUGUGGAUUGUCCUUUGGACAAUGGUAGGAGAGCGUUCUAAGGGCGUUGAAGCAUGAUCGUAAGGACAUGUGGAGCGCUUAGAAGUGAGAAUGCCGGUGUGAGUAGCGAAAGACGGGUGAGAAUCCCGUCCACCGAUUGACUAAGGUUUCCAGAGGAAGGCUCGUCCGCUCUGGGUUAGUCGGGUCCUAAGCUGAGGCCGACAGGCGUAGGCGAUGGAUAAC
rnacentral:rRNA from 1 species